rnacentral:rRNA from 1 species
AUUGAACGCUGGCGGCAGGCCUAACACAUGCAAGUCGAGCGGAUGAAGGUAGCUUGCUCCUGGAUUCAGCGGCGGACGGGUGAGUAAUGCCUAGGAAUCUGCCUGGUAGUGGGGGAUAACGUCCGGAAACGGGCGCUAAUACCGCAUACGUCCUGAGGGAGAAAGUGGGUUAUCUUCGGACCUCACGCUAUCAGAUGAGCCUAGGUCGGAUUAGCUAGUUGGUGGGGUAAAGGCCUACCAAGGCGACGAUCCGUAACUGGUCUGAGAGGAUGAUCGGUCACACUGGAACUGAGACACGGUACAGACUCCUACGGGAGGCAGCAGUGGGGAAUAUUGGACAAUGGGCGAAAGCCUGAUCCAGCCAUGCCGCGUGUGUGAAGAAGGUCUUCGGAUUGUAAAGCACUUUAAGUUGGGAGGAAGGGCAGUAAGUUAAUACCUUGCUGUUUUGACGUUACCAACAGAAUAAGCACCGGCUAACUUCGUG